UGCGUAGGUGGUUUCUUGAGUCAGGAGUGAAAGGCUACGGCUCAACCGUAGUAAGCUCUUGAAACUGGGAAACUUGAGUGCAGGAGAGGAAAGUGGAAUUCCUAGUGUAGCGGUGAAAUGCGUAGAUAUUAGGAGGAACACCAGUAGCGAAGGCGGCUUUCUGGACUGUAACUGACACUGAGGCACGAAAGCGUGGGGAGCAAACA
rnacentral:rRNA from 1 species